AUUGAACGCUGGCGGCAGGCCUGACACAUGCCAGUCGAACGGUAACAGGAAGAAGCUUGCUUCUUUGCUGACGAGUGGCGGACGGGUGAGUAAUGUCUGGGAAACUGCCUGAUGGAGGGGGAUAACUACUGGAAACGGUAGCUAAUACCGCAUAACGUCGCAAGACCAAAAAGGGGGACCUUCGGGCCUCUUGCCAUCGGAUGUGCCCAGAUGGGAUUAGCUAGUAGGUGGGGUAACGGCUCACCUAGGCGACGAUCCCUAGCUGGUCUGAGAGGAUGACCAGCCACACUGGAACUGAGACACGGUCCAGACUCCUACGGGAGGCAGCAGUGGGGAAUAUUGCACAAUGGGCGCAAGCCUGAUGCAGCCAUGCCGCGUGUAUGAAGAAGGCCUUCGGGUUGUAAAGUACUUUCAGCGGGGAGGAAGGGAGUAAAGUUAAUACCUUUGCUCAUUGACGUUACCCGCAGAAGAAGCACCGGCUAACUCCGUG
rnacentral:rRNA from 1 species